CGCCAGACUCCUACGGGAGGCAGCAGUGGGGAAUAUUGCACAAUGGGGGAAACCCUGAUGCAGCGACGCCGCGUGAGUGAAGAAGUAUUUCGGUAUGUAAAGCUCUAUCAGCAGGGAAGAAAAUGACGGUACCUGAUUAAGAAGCCCCGGCUAACUACGUGCCAGCAGCCGCGGUAAUACGUAGGGGGCAAGCGUUAUCCGGAUUUACUGGGUGUAAAGGGAGCGUAGACGGUGAUGCAAGUCAGAAGUGAAAGCCCGGGGCUCAACUCCGGGACUGCUUUUGAAACUGUGUGACUGGAGUGCAGGAGAGGUAAGCGGAAUUCCUGGUGUAGCGGUGAAAUGCGUAGAUAUCAGGAGGAACACCAGUGGCGAAGGCGGCUUACUGGACUGUAACUGACGUUGAGGCUCGAAAGCGUGGGGAGCAAACAGGAUUAGAUACCCGUGUAAG
rnacentral:rRNA from 1 species